rnacentral:rRNA from 1 species
GAUGAACGCUGGCGGCGUGCCUAAUGCAUGCAAGUCGAGCGAACAGACGAGGAGCUUGCUCCUCUGACGUUAGCGGCGGACGGGUGAGUAACACGUGGAUAACCUACCUAUAAGACUGGGAUAACUUCGGGAAACCGGAGCUAAUACCGGAUAAUAUAUUGAACCGCAUGGUUCAAUAGUGAAAGACGGUUUUGCUGUCACUUAUAGAUGGAUCCGCGCCGCAUUAGCUAGUUGGUAAGGUAACGGCUUACCAAGGCAACGAUGCGUAGCCGACCUGAGAGGGUGAUCGGCCACACUGGAACUGAGACACGGUCCAGACUCCUACGGGAGGCAGCAGUAGGGAAUCUUACGCAAUGGGCGAAAGCCUGACGGAGCAACGCCGCGUGAGUGAUGAAGGUCUUCGGAUCGUAAAACUCUGUUAUUAGGGAAGAACAAAUGUGUAAGUAACUAUGCACGUCUUGACGGUACCUAAUCAGAAAGCCACGGCUAACUACGUG